rnacentral:rRNA from 1 species
GUCGCACCUACCGAUUGAAUGGUCCGGUGAGGCCUCGGGAUUGUGACCAGCUCCUUUAUUGGGGUUGGUUGCGAGAACUUGUCCAAACCUUAUCAUUUAGAGGAAGGUG